rnacentral:rRNA from 1 species
GCGAAAACUUUACAAUGCUGGCAACAGCGAUAAGGGAACCUCGAGUGCCAGAUUACAAAUCUGGCUGUCGAGAUGCCUAAAAAGCAUUUCAUAGCAAGGGCCGGGCAAGACCGGUGCCAGCAGCCGCGGUAACACCGGCGGCUCGAGUGGUAACCGUUAUUAUUGGGUCUAAAGGGUCUGUAGCCGGCCGGAUAAGUCUCUUGAGAAAUCUGGCAGCUGAACUGUCAGGCUUUCAGGAGAUACUGUCUGGCUCGAGGCCGGGAGAGGUGAGAGGUACUUCAGGGGUAGGGGUGAAAUCUUGUAAUCCUUGAAGGACCACCAGUGGCGAAGGCGUCUCACCAGAACGGACCUGACGGCAAGGGACGAAAGCUAGGGGCACGAGCC